rnacentral:SRP_RNA from 2 species
GCCGGGUGUGGUGGCGUGCGCCUGUAAUCCCAGCUACUCAGGAGGCUGAGGCAGGAGAAUCGCUUGAACCUGGGAGACGGAGGUUGCAGUGAGCCAAGAUUGUGCCACUGCACUCCAGCCUGGGCAACAGAGCAAGACCCCGUCUCAA